rnacentral:rRNA from 1 species
GACGAACGCUGGCGGCGUGCCUAACACAUGCAAGUCGAACGGACGAUGGAGAGCUUGCUCUCCAAAGUUAGUGGCGAACGGGUGAGUAACGCGUGAGCAACCUGCCUUUCAGAGGGGGACAACAGUUGGAAACGACUGCUAAUACCGCAUAACAUGAUCUGGCCGCAUGACCGGAUCAUCAAAGAUUUAUCGCUGAAAGAUGGGCUCGCGUCUGAUUAGCUAGUUGGUGGGGUAACGGCCCACCAAGGCGACGAUCAGUAGCCGGACUGAGAGGUUGAACGGCCACAUUGGGACUGAGAUACGGCCCAG